rnacentral:tRNA from 1 species
AAAAUUUUAGUUUAAAUAAAAAUAUUUCAUUUACAAUGAGAAGUUUAAUUUGUAAAUUAAAAUUUUA